rnacentral:rRNA from 1 species
UACGGGGGGGGGCAAGCGUUUUGUUCGGAAUUACUGGGGCGUAAAGGGCUCGUAGGCGGCCAACUAAGUCAGACGUGAAAUCCCUCGGCUUUAACCGGGGGAACUGCGUCUGAUACUGGUUUGGCUUGAAUCCGGGGAGAGGGGAUGUGGAAUUCCAGGUGUAGCGGUGAAAUGCGUAGAUAUCUGGAGGAACACCGGUGGCGAAGGCGGCAUCCUGGACCGGUAUUGACGCUGAGGAGCGAAAAGCCAGGGGGAGCAAACGGGG